rnacentral:rRNA from 1 species
GGAUGAGCCCGCGGCCUAUCAGCUCGUUGGUGGGGUAACGGCCUACCAAGGCGACGACGGGUAGCUGGUCUGAGAGGACGACCAGCCACACUGGGACUGAGAUACGGCCCAGACUCCUACGGGAGGCAGCAGUGGGGGAUCUUGCGCAAUGGGCGAAAGCCUGACGCAGCGACACCGCGUGAGGGACGAAGGCCCUCGGGUUGUAAACCUCUUUCGGCAGGGACGAAGCGAUCGUGACGGUACCUGCAAAAGAAGCUCCGGCUAACUACGUGCCAGCAGCCGCGGUAAGACGUAGGGAGCGAGCGUUGUCCGGAUUCAUUGGGCGUAAAGAGCGCGCAGGCGGUUCGGUAAGUCGGUUGUGAAAUUCCGGGGCUCAACCCCGGGACUGCGUCCGAUACUGCCGGACUAGAGGUAGGUAGGGGAGAUCGGAAUUCCUGGUGUAGCGGUGGAAUGCGCAGAUAUCAGGAGGAACACCGGUGGCGAAGGCGGAUCUCUGGGCCUUACCUGACGCUCAGGCGCGAAAGCUAGGGGAGCGAACAGGAUUAGAUACCCUGGUAGUCCUAGCUGUAAACGUCGGGUGCUAGGUGUGGGCGGAUAUCGACCCCGUCCGUGCCGAAGCUAACGCAUUAAGCACCCCGCCUGGGGAGUACGGCCGCAAGGCUAAAACUCAAAGGAAUUGACGGGGCCCCGCGCAAGCGGCGGAGCAUGUU